GGAAUUUUGGACAAUGGGCGAAAGCCUGAUCCAGCAAUGCCGCGUGCAGGAUGAAGGCCUUCGGGUUGUAAACUGCUUUUGUACGGAACGAAAAAGUCUGCCCUAAUACGGUGGGCCCAUGACGGUACCGUAAGAAUAAGCACCGGCUAACUACGUGCCAGCAGCCGCGGUAAUACGUAGGGUGCGAGCGUUAAUCGGAAUUACUGGGCGUAAAGCGUGCGCAGGCGGUUAUAUAAGUCAGAUGUGAAAUCCCCGGGCUCAACCUGGGACCUGCAUUUGAGACUGUAUAGCUAGAGUACGGUAGAGGGGGAUGGAAUUCCGCGUGUAGCAGUGAAAUGCGUAGAUAUGCGGAGGAACACCGAUGGCGAAGGCAAUCCCCUGGACCUGUACUGACGCUCAUGCACGAAAGCGUGGGGAGCAAACAGGAUUAGAUACCCGGG
rnacentral:rRNA from 1 species